CUAAAGCAGAGGUGUAGUGGAGGGGUCCGAAUCUCUACCAGUAACAUGUCGUAGGCUGUAACUAAAGCAGAGGUGUAGUGGAGGGGUCCGAAUCUCUACCAGUAACAUGUCGUAGGCUGUAACUAAAGCAGAGGUGUAGUGGAGGGGUCCGAAUCUCUACCAGUAAUAUGUCGUAGGCUGUAACUAAAGCAGAGGUGUAGUGGAGGGGUCCGAAUCUCUGUAAUAGGGUUAUUUUUAAUAAAGUGUUUGAUAUUUGUGAAAUGUAUACAUGUACAUGUGUGAUAAUUAUUAAUAAAAUAUAAUAAAUAUGUAAGGUAUUUAUUAUUGAGGUAUAAGGCCCUCGCGACCUUUUACCUGCGUGCGUGCGUAUAUAUAUUCGUUACCGGCGAUCCCGUGCGCGUGUUUGUAUAUUGGUAUGUGUAUGUCUUUGUACCUGUGAGUAUAUUUCACUGACGAACGUGACAUGUGACUGUGACAAAGUUGUUUGAUUGGUUGAAAGUUCCUAUCUGUGGUUUUAGUCUUUGUUUCUUUGUGUUUCGGUACAUUUGAAUUUCGACGUCAUUGAAGCCGGAGCUAGGUCUUCGAAUUCAUCUGUCACCAUAUAGAGUCGUAUUCUUGUAUUGUUUACAUCUGUUGUGCGGUAUAUGACGAUCAUGGAAGUGAGCAGUGUUUAGCCUCACGUUGAUGCACUAUACGUGUUGUAAGUGUGUGAUUUUAUAUUACCAAGUAAUCGUCAUUAUCUGUGAUAUUUUAUCGUGUUAACGUUGUGUUGGAAAUAUUAUUCAUUUAUAUGUAAUUGUACGCGUGAACUAUUGUUGUAUGACAGAUGUAUGGUUUGUGAAUGAAAUUAAUUAUGUUUUAUUUAUGUAUGUUUCAGAACGUGGGUUUUUGAGUAAUAAUAAAACCUUUGAAAUCAAACGAA